GUGGGUAUAGCUCAAUGCAAGAGAACGUGCUUAGCAUGCACGAGGUCCUGGGUUCAAUCCCCAGUACCUCCA
rnacentral:tRNA from 1 species